UCGAGACCCGAACGAACGGACGAUCGCGAACGUGUUACAUAUCUGCUCCCUAACGACUCCGGUUCGUCCCGCCGCUCCUCGCGGCGCGGCGUGACGAGACGGAGGAAACGAAACCCCGGCGCAGUGGGCGCCAAGGAACACUUUUUAGAAGCGCCGUCGCGGCCUCCUCCUCCACCUCCCCAUUGCCAUCACAGAUAGAUAGCGUGGGGAGGAAGGAGGGCGAACGCGGGCGUGGAUAUAGAUAUCGUAUUCUGUACGACUCUCGGCAACGGAUAUCUAGGCUCUCGCAUCGAUGAAGAACGUAGCGAAAUGCGAUACUUGGUGUGAAUUGCAGAAUCCCGUGAACCAUCGAGUCUUUGAACGCAAGUUGCGCCCGAGGCCAUCCGGUCGAGGGCACGCCUGCCUGGGCGUCACGCCUCCCGUCGCUCCCCACAGCCGUGCGGAUGCGGAGAUUGGCCCACCGUGCCUCGUGCGCGGCGGGUCGAAGUGCGGGCCGUCGUCGGGCCGGGCGCGGCGAAUGGUGGACGAAUACUACGUUGUUUGUGCCUACUCUCCGUGCCCCGGCCCUCAACAAUGCGACGCGCCGUCGUCGGACCCCUCACCAGGGAAGGUCCCUCUCUUCUUGUCUUGCUUCUUCUCCUAGUUAUUUAUAGCUAGGAGGAGGAGGAGGAGGAGGAGGAAGGAAUCGUCCUCGGAACG
rnacentral:misc_RNA from 1 species